AGCUUUACGAAAGGCCAUCAUCAUUUUCUAGUACAGAUCGACAUUGGACACCCAAACACACCCGCCGCACAGAAGCACACACAAGAACAUCAACAUUCGACACACAAAAACUCACUUCACAAACAUAUGACUAUGUUUUCCUUCGGAGUAAAUAACAAUAUGCACACAACAAAGGUUUCGUUGAAACAAGAACAAACCCAGCAAAGCAACAAACAACCCCUUUAUUCUCCAACUUCCCACUAACACACAGAGUGAGGCUUUACAUACAGUUUCCGACUAGAACGAUGUUAUCCAAUCGUAUGACAAGUGCGAAAGUUAUAUCCAUAUCCUCAUUUGAUUAUAUAAGUUCAAGAGUUUCUGAAGUCGGUCUCGCUGCGUUCUUUUACAAAACUGCAUUCGGCCAGAAGCGGUGCGGCUUCUCCUAUAGUUUUGCUCAACCGUGUUUAAUCGUCGGUUUCAAGAAGAUGAGUUGGUCGGUCAGAAGCAGCGUAAACGACAGCAGUUUUAGUCCGUCGAAUGGAACUAACGGAAGGACGCGUAUAAUCAGAGUGAUUCAAGAGUUUCAAACUAAAUUAGGUUCUAAAGUUGAGAAGGUAAAGAAAAAUCUUCCAGUGAAACUUCUUUUCUUUUUGGUUGGGUUUUAUUGCGCAACCGCGUUUUCCACGGUUAUUGGACAAACGGGGGAUUGGGAUAUUCUAUCGGCUGGCUUAGCUGUUGUUGUUGUGGAAGGGAUUGGUGCUCUCAUGUAUAGCUCUUCUCUUCCUUUAGUUAUCAAAAGGUUGAUCUCAGUGUUUAAUUAUUGGAAAGCUGGCCUUACGUUGGGACUUUUCUUGGACUCGUUCAAAUAUUAAUUCGGUUUUAUACCGGAGACGCAACAAUAUCUUACAUGAAAAACAAAUUUUCUCAAAUCUACACCGACCCUUUGGUUUUCCAUCACAAGCUAGAAUCGUCAAGUGAUGUAAGUACCGACACUUGAGAUUAAAGACGUGUUUGGUGUUCAACACCUACACGACACUUACACUCGUGGUUACAUUCAAUUAUACUAUUUUCCACAUUAUCACCGGUCUUUGGUGCUUCAUAGUAUGUAACUGUAUAAAGCACAUUGACACAUUCAACAACAUUCAACUGCAUACCCUUUGCAGUCUUCCGGACGGAAGAAACGCAAACUGAUGUCAGAUGGGUGACCUAGUUCGACUCGAGUUGUACAAUACACCAAAUACUUGUCUUCCAGAUGGAUCUAUCCUCCUCCCAGUACCAUUAUAAACUGACAGAUUCCGAAUAAUACCCGGACCAGCAUUGCACCGGUUCAAUAUUCCAGGCGAAAAUAAGAUGAAAUCGCCAUCUGCAUUUUGAUUCUGCAAAACAGUGGCUGAACUGCUGCUGUAACCAUCAACACACCACUUAUUGGACUCCACUUUGGACCUUUUACACUAAAUACCUUUUAGGGGACAAAUACCAUCGAGACUCAAGGUAGACUAACCGAUUAGAUUUAGGGAAUUUCUUAUUCCACCUUAUAAGUUGAAAAACAUCAUAUGGAAAAUCGAAAUAGCCCAAAUUUUAAAGAUGUAUCUUCGGACA